rnacentral:rRNA from 1 species
GACGAACGCUGGCGGCGUGCUUAACACAUGCAAGUCGAACGGAAAGGCCCUGCUUUUGUGGGGUGCUCGAGUGGCGAACGGGUGAGUAACACGUGAGUAACCUGCCCUUGACUUUGGGAUAACUUCAGGAAACUGGGGCUAAUACCGGAUAGGAGCUCCUGCUGCAUGGUGGGGGUUGGAAAGUUUCGGCGGUUGGGGAUGGACUCGCGGCUUAUCAGCUUGUUGGUGGGGUAGUGGCUUACCAAGGCUUUGACGGGUAGCCGGCCUGAGAGGGUGACCGGCCACAUUGGGACUGAGAUACGGCCCAGACUCCUACGGGAGGCAGCAGUGGGGAAUAUUGCACAAUGGGCGGAAGCCUGAUGCAGCAACACCGCGUGCGGGAUGACGGCCUUCGGGUUGUAAACCGCUUUCGCCUGUGACGAAGCGUGAGUGACGGUAAUGGGUAAAGAAGCACCGGCUAACUACGUGCCAGCAGCCGCGGUGAUACGUAGGGUGCGAGCGUUGUCCGGAUUUAUUGGGCGUAAAGGGCUCGUAGGUGGUUGAUCGCGUCGGAAGUGUAAUCUUGGGGCUUAACCCUGAGCGUGCUUUCGAUACGGGUUGACUUGAGGAAGGUAGGGGAGAAUGGAACUCCUGGUGGAGCGGUGGAAUGCGCAGAUAUCAGGAGGAACACCAGUGGCGAAGGCGGUUCUCUGGGCCUUUCCUGACGCUGAGGAGCGAAAGCGUGGGGAGCGAACAGGCUUAGAUACCCUGGUAGUCCACGCUGUAAACGGUGGGUACUAGGUGUGGGGUCCAUUCCACGGGUUCCGUGCCGUAGCUAACGCUUUAAGUACCCCGCCUGGGGAGUACGGCCGCAAGGCUAAAACUCAAAGGAAUUGACGGGGCCCCGCACAAGCGGCGGAGCAUGCGGAUUAAUUCGAUGCAACGCGUAGAACCUUACCUGGGUUUGACAUGGAUCGGGAGUGCUCAGAGAUGGGUGUGCCUCUUUUGGGGUCGGUUCACAGGUGGUGCAUGGCUGUCGUCAGCUCGUGUCGUGAGAUGUUGGGUUAAGUCCCGCAACGAGCGCAACCCUUGUUCACUGUUGCCAGCACGUUAUGGUGGGGACUCAGUGGAGACCGCCGGGGUCAACUCGGAGGAAGGUGGGGAUGACGUCAAGUCAUCAUGCCCCUUAUGUCCAGGGCUUCACGCAUGCUACAAUGGCUGGUACAGAGAGUGGCGAGCCUGUGAGGGUGAGCGAAUCUCGGAAAGCCGGUCUCAGUUCGGAUUGGGGUCUGCAACUCGACCUCAUGAAGUCGGAGUCGCUAGUAAUCGCAGAUCAGCAACGCUGCGGUGAAUACGUUCCCGGG